CUUAUAAUGAAUGGAGGGAUGGAUGGAUGGAUGCCUCUUAUCAGCCCUUGGAAAGUGAUCUUGAGCUCAGAUCUCCUUUUUUCACUGUACAUGUUGCAAACCCACUUUGACUUGAGACAAGAAGUGUACGAAGAACACCAGUCAUGAAAGCCAGUGCACACGUAGGACUGGCCUCCCCUUGCCCAUACUGAACCCCCCUCCAUAGUGGUCCCUGCUCAGGAGCUGGGCUCACCUGCAGAUCUCCAAAGAAGCUACCAUAGCUGUUCCUUCUGCCUGUACCCCAUGCUGCACCCAGAGUCAUCCACACAGGGGUCAUCCCCAUAGAUCCACCUGUCUCCUGCCUCAGUGCUCUGUCUUCUGGGCAUUGCACAUCCCUAGCGUUCUGAAGACUGGAUCUCCAUUGCCAAGUGUGAUGUUAACUCUGGAGAUGGCAGCAUAUUAUGACCUUUAUGUUGGUGAUGAUUCAACUUUUUGUCCCAUCUUUCUCUGAAGAUGUGCUGGGGUUUUCUAGUCCUUUCCCAGGGCUCUCGGGGCUCACUGAGCAGGGGACAUGACUCCCCCAGAUUAUUUUUGGGACAUCUGUCACCUUACACUUUCUCUCUCACUGAAUUGGGUCACUCAGUUGUCAAGCUGUAGCCAUUUGUCACUUUAAAACAGAAAAAAAAUUGUUUCAUUCUUUAAAGUUGUUGUUUUUUCAU